AUGCUACAUUCUUCAGCAGCUUGUAUACCAAAAUUACAACAAUACAGAGAUUAACAUGGCACUUGUACAAGGAUGAUAUGAAAAUUUGUGAAGUAUUCAAAAUUUUU